rnacentral:rRNA from 1 species
AGUGAACGCUGGCGGUAGGCCUAACACAUGCAAGUCGAACGGCAGCACAGUAAGAGCUUGCUCUUACGGGUGGCGAGUGGCGGACGGGUGAGGAAUACAUCGGAAUCUACUUUUUCGUGGGGGAUAACGUAGGGAAACUUACGCUAAUACCGCAUACGACCUACGGGUGAAAGCAGGGGAUCUUCGGACCUUGCGCGAUUGAAUGAGCCGAUGUCGGAUUAGCUAGUUGGCGGGGUAAGGGCCCACCAAGGCGACGAUCCGUAGCUGGUCUGAGAGGAUGAUCAGCCACACUGGAACUGAGACACGGUCCAGACUCCUACGGGAGGCAGCAGUGGGGAAUAUUGGACAAUGGGCGCAAGCCUGACCGAGCCAUACCGCGUGAGUGAAGAAGGCCUUCGGGUUGUAAAGCCCUGUUAUUGGGAAAGAAAAGCAGCAGGUUAAUACCCCGAUGUUCUGACGGUACCUAAAGAAUAAGCACCGGCUAACUUCGUG